UACAGAGGUCCCGAGCGUUGUUCGGAUUUAUUGGGCGUAAAGGGUGCGUAGGUGGCAAAGUAAGUUGGAUGUGAAAUCCUGGGGCUCAACCUCAGAAUUGCAUUCAAUACUGCUUAGCUAGAGAGCUGUAGAGGAGACUGGAAUUUACGGUGUAGCAGUGAAAUGCGUAGAUAUCGUCUGGAACGCCAAAGGUGAAAACAGACUGCUGGGAGUGUGCUGACGCUGAGACACGAAAGCCAGGGGAGCAAACGGG
rnacentral:rRNA from 1 species